rnacentral:rRNA from 1 species
UUACGAAAACUUGGCAAUGCGGGAAACCGCGACCAGGGGACUCCAAGUGCUAAUACUUUGUAUUAGCUGUUCUUCUGUCUAAAAAACAGGAGAAGUAAGGGCUGGGUAAGACGGGUGCCAGCCGCCGCGGUAAUACCCGCAGCCCGAGUGGUGGUCAUUAUUAUUGAGCCUAAAGCGUCCGUAGCCGGACUCGUAAAUCCUUGGGUAAAUCGGGCAGCUCAACUGUCCGAAUUCCGAGGAGACUGCGAGUCUUGGGACCGGGAGAGGUUAGAGGUACUCCAGGGGUAAGGGCUAAAUCUUGUAAUCCUUGGGGGACCACCAGUGGCGAAGGCGUCUAACUAGAACGGAUCCGACGGUAAGGGACGAAACCCUGGGGCGCAAACGGGAUUAGAAUACCCCGGUAGUCCAGGGCUUAAACGCUGCAGAUUUGGUGUCGGGGGUCCUACGAGGGCACCCGGUGCCGGAGAGAAGUUGUUAAAUCUGCCGCUUGGGGAGUACGGUCGCAAGCUGAAACUUAAGGAAUUGGCGGGAGAGCACCGCAACGGGAGGAGCGUGCGGUUCAAUUGGAUUCAAC